rfam:Lichtheimia corymbifera JMRC:FST:9682, FST 9682, WGS project CBTN01000000 data, contig: SCAF00023
GCCUGCUUGGCUCAGUUUGGCAGAGCGUCCGCCUAGUAAGCGGAAGGUCACUGGUUCGAUUCCAGUAGUAGGCA